rnacentral:rRNA from 1 species
AUAUUAAUAAGCGGAGGAAAAGAAACUAACAAGGAUUCCCCUAGUAACGGCGAGUGAAGCGGGAAUAGCUCAAAUUUGAAAUCUCCUUCGGGCGAAUUGUAGUUUAGAGAAGUGUUUUCUAUGGUAGCUCAGGCAUAUGUCCUUUGGAAAGAGGCAUCAUAGAGGGUGAGAAUCCCGUAUGUGGUCUGAAGUCUAUUGUUCUGUGAUACACUUUCAAAGAGUCGGGUUGUUUGGGAAUGCAACUCAAAAAGGGUGGUAAAUACCAUCUAAAGCUAAAUACAGGCGAGAGACCGAUAGCGCACAAGUA